UUAUAACAAAAUCAUUUUUUUCUUAAAUUUAUUUACCAAUUUGUAUAAAAAAUUUACUAGUUUUGAGUCUUUGUAAAAGUGGAUCAUUAUUUUGUAGAAAAAACUUCAAAACCCCUCCUGUGGUUUCAUAGUUUCUCACUUUACCCUCCUGUGAUUUAAAAUGUAUCAAUUUGCUCCCAUGUGAUUUCGUUUUUAUAUUUUUGGUAGUUUUUUCGUUAAUAUUUUACUAAAUUAUAUACAAAAAAACUUCAGAUACCCAUCUAAAUUUAUCAAAUAUUCCAUUUAGUAUCAUUUAAUUUUAACUUUAUCACUGGUUUUAAAAAAAUAAUAAAAUUGAUAAGAAAAAGAAAAAAAAGAAAUCACAGGAGGGCAAAUUGAUACAUUUUAAACCACGGGGGGGCAAACUGAGAAACUACGAAAUCACAGGGGGGUUUAUGAAGUUUUCCCUAUUUUUUAUUUUAUAUAUUCGAAUUAGAUUUUCAAAAAACUGAUGAAAAUAACCUUAUUCCCUUUUCUCGCCUCUGUCCCGCUCACCCUCGCCCUCGCCCGCGCACCCUGGCUCCCAUCUUCCUCGCCUCCGACCUCACCGAGCGUUAUGACCCCCUUUUUUUAUUUUUUUUCUCUCCGACUUUCCAGCAUCGUCUCCCCGCUUCUUUACAACAGUAAAGAGAAUAACAUCACCUCCUCUUCUUUUUUUUUCUCUGCGAUCCUCCACGACAGUAACGAAGACAGCACCGUAUCCUCUUCCUCGACCUUCGCUGGCGCCGGCACCAACGCCAGCGCCAACGCUGGAGAAGGAGAACUCGAAGCGAGCGUGAAU
rnacentral:lncRNA from 1 species